AGGCAGCAGACACAUUCCAGCCAAUCAGCAGCAGUCCCUCCCUCCCUCCCAGACCCUCCCACCUCCUGGACAGCUCACUAAGAAUGCAGCUUCAAAAUGGAUGCUGUCCAGGAGGUGGGAGGGUUUGGGAGGGAGGGUCUGCUGCUGAUUGGCUGGAAUGUGUCUGCUG